CUUAAGAGUACACAAUGAUAUGUCAUGCUUUGUUCAGUCUGAUACCAUCCUCUACACAGAUGACUCACAAGUAAUAGGCUGCUAUAACACUGAUGAAAAUUCAAUAUGCCGCAUCGAGUAAACACAUGGAGAAUAGCGUGCUUUCUGUGUAUGGCAGAUUAAGUAUACCAUUAGAAUUACUAAAAACACAGUGGCACACACAGCAGUGAGACAUGCAAAAAAGCAUCACCUGCUAUGUGAUGGUAAUUCCAUGAAGUGGACCACACUGCAUGUGAUAUAUCUUCUAUUUCACACAUCUCCAGUGCAAUUUUUCUGUUCUAUGUAUGGAUCAUGAUUUGAAAUCCUGUACCUGUCAGUUCGCAUCUGCAACAAACUUUGAGUCAACCAAUGCAGCAACUGGUCCAAAAUAGCACACCAGGUAUUAGAUUAUUUCUGUGUUACACACAAUACUGAAAUGCCUUGUGAGACAUCUCUAUAUUCAUGUAUGCCCAAUGUUACUUCCCUGUUCCAAUAUACAAUGCCUGCAUUGUGAUUUAAUGUUUAAUUGUUUACUUACAGAGCCUGACACUGAGUGUGAUCAGCAAGGUUUUGGUAUGCCAUGGCAGAGCAAGAGCUUCCUCACACCACACCAGGUAUGAGAUUAAUUGUGUGAUAGGCACAAUACUGAAAUGCCUUGUGAGACAUCUCUAUAUUCAUGUAUGCCCAAUGUUACUUCCUUGUUCCAAUAUACAAUGCCUGCAUUGUGAUUUAAUGUUUAAUUGUUUACUUACAGAGCCUGACACUGAGUGUGAUCAGCAGGGUUUUGUUAUGCCAUGGCAGCAAGAGCUUCCUCACACCACACCAGGUAUGAGAUUAAUUCUGUGUUAGGCACAAUACUGAAAUGCCUUGUGAGACAUCUCUAUAUUCAUGUAUGCCCAAUGUUACUUCCCUGUUCCAAUAUACAAUGCCUGCAUUGUGAUUUAAUGUUUAAUUGUUUACUUACAGAGCCUGACACUGAGUGUGAUCAGCAAGGUUUUGGUAUGCCAUGGCAGCAAGAGCUUCCUCACACCACACCAGGUAUGAGAUUAAUUGUGUGUUAGGCACGAUACUGAAAUGCCUUGUGAGACAUCUCUGUAUUCAUGUAUGCCCAAUGUUACUUCCCUGUUCCAAUAUACAAUGCCUGCAUUGUGAUUUAAUGUUUAAUUGUUUACUUACAGAGCCUGACACUGAGUGUGAUGAGCAAGGUUUUGGUAUGCCAUGACAGCAAGA